rnacentral:rRNA from 1 species
AUAACAUCCGGAAACGGGUGCUAAUACCGCAUAGUUUCUUGAUCGCAUGAUCGGGAAAGGAAAGACGGCCUUUGUGCUGUCGCUUAUGGAUGGACCCGCGGCGUAUUAGUUAGUUGGUGAGGUAACGGCUCACCAAGACGAUGAUACGUAGCCGACCUGAGAGGGUGAUCGGCCACAUUGGGACUGAGACACGGCCCAAACUCCUACGGGAGGCAGCAGUAGGGAAUCUUCCGCAAUGGACGAAAGUCUGACGGAGCAACGCCGCGUGAGUGAAGAAAGGGUUUUCGGAUCGUAAAACUCUGUUGUCAGAGAAGAACAAGUUGGAGAGUAACUGCUCCAGCCUUGACGGUAUCUGACCAGAAAGCCACGGCUAACUACGUGCCAGCCGCUGC